UCUACUGGAGAAGUACCAGGAUGUGAUAGACGUCUAUAAGGCUGUCAACAUCUUCAGAGUCCAGAUGAUCAACGAGAAGUCUCUCUUCACCUCCAGGUGCGGUUAGCCUGACUUAGGUCUACAGUUAGCCUAACUUACGAAUGCUGUUAGCAUGGUCCUGCUAUUUAUGUUUACAAUUAGCCUGGUCCUGAGAAUCAAGGUUACGGUUAGCCUUGUCCUGCUAUCUAAUUCUACAGUUAGCAUGGUCCUGCUAAACAAGUCUUGCCAGGUCUCCCUCUCAAAACAGACUCUGAACCCUAUGGGAUCUUCUUCGUCUAGGCACCAGUCUAUUUUGUGAUAACAUUCUACUCCUUGUCAACAUAAUUUGGCAUAUGACAUGGAGUACAAGAAGUGUAAUCCCAACUAGCGCAUAUGGUUUAUUGAAAGUUGUGGGAACAUACAUUUUUGGUUUACUAUUGGUUCUUGGGAGGAAACCAUAACUUUACUGCCUGGUAAAACGGAGCAUUUUUUAAACGUUCUGAAAACGGAAGUGAAGAGUUAGCCUGUUCUGGGAACGUUAAGUUUUAGGUUGCAGGGAGGUUCUGAGAACAUCUUACUAUGGUUCCAGGGAGGUUCUGAGAACAUCUAACUAUGGUUCCAGGGAGGUUCUGAGAACGUCUAACUAUGGUUCCAGGGAGGUUCUGAGAACAUCUAACUAUGGUUUCAGGGAGGUUCUGAGAACAUCUAACUAUGGUUUCAGGGAGGUUCUGAGAACAUCUAACUAUGGUUCCAGGGAGGUUCUGAGAACAUCUAACUAUGGUUCCAGGGAGGUUCUGAGAACGUCUUACUCUGUAUUAAUGUUUAAUGUCUCUGUGAUAUUCUUUACUGUAUUAAUGUUAAAUGUCUCUGUGAUGUUCAUCUCUGUGUUAAUGUUUAAUGUCUCUGUGGUGUUCAUCUCUGUAUUCAUGUUUAAUGUCUCUGUGGUGUUCAUCUCUGUAUUAAUGUUAAAUGUCUCUGUGAUGUUCAUCUCUGUGUUAAUGUUUAAUGUCUCUGUGAUGUUCAUCUCUGUAUUCAUGUUUAAUGUCUCUGUGAUGUUCAUCUCUGUAUUAAUGUUAAAUGUCUCUGUGAUGUUCAUCUCUGUGUUAAUGUUUAAUGUCUCUGUGAUGUUCAUCUCUGUAUUCAUGUUUAAUGUCUCUGUGAUGUUCAUCUCUGUAUUAAUGUCUCUGUGAUGUUCAUCUCUGUAUUCAUGUUUAAUGUCUCUGAUGUUCAUCUCUGUAUUAAUGUUUAAUGUCUCUGUGAUGUUCAUCUCUGUAUUAAUGUUAAAUGUCUCUGUG